rnacentral:rRNA from 1 species
GAUGAACGCUGGCGGCGUGCCUAAUACAUGCAAGUCGAGCGAACAGACGAGGAGCUUGCUCCUCUUACGUUAGCGGCGGACGGGUGAGUAACACGUGGAUAACCUACCUAUAAGACUGGGAUAACUUCGGGAAACCGGAGCUAAUCCCGGAUAAUAUCUUGAACCGCAUGGUUCAAUAGUGAAAGACGGUUUUGCUGUCACUUAUAGAUGGAUCCGCGCCGCAUUAGCUAGUUGUUAAGGUAACGGCUUACCACGGCGACGAUGCGUAGCCGACCUGAGAGGGGGAUCGGCAACACGGGAACGGAGACACGGUCAAGACUCCUACGGGAGGCAGCAGUAGGGAAUCUUCCGCAAUGGGCGAAAGCCUGACGGAGCAACGCCGCGUGAGUGAUGAAGGUCUUCGGAUCGUAAAACUCUGUUAUUAGGGAAGAACAAAUGUGUAAGUAACUAUGCACGUCGUGACGGUACCUAAUCAGAAAGCCACGGCUAACUACGUG